rnacentral:rRNA from 1 species
GUUAUCCGGAUUCACUGGGUUUAAAGGGUGCGUAGGUGGGCAAGUAAGUCAGUGGUGAAAUCUCUGGGCUUAACCCGGAAACUGCCAUUGAUACUAUUUGUCUUGAAUUCUCUGGAGGUAAGCGGAAUAUGUCAUGUAGCGGUGAAAUGCUUAGAUAUGACAUAGAACACCCAUUGCGAAGGCAGCUUACUACGGAGACAUUGACACUGAGGCACGAAAGCGUGGGGAUCAAACAGGAUUAGAUACCCUGGUAGUCCACGCCCUAAACGAUGAUUACUCGACAUUAGCGAUAUUACUGUUAGUGUCUAAGCGAAAGCAUUAAGUAAUCCACCUGGGAAGUACGACCGCAAGGUUGAAACUCAAAGGAAUUGGCGGGGGUCCGCACAAGUGGUGGAGCAUGUGGUUUAAUUCGAAGCAACGCGCAGAACCUUACCAACCCUUGACAUGGGCGUCGCGGUUUCCAGAGAUGGAUUCCUUCAGUUCGGCUGGACGCCACACAGGUGCUGCAUGGCUGUCGUCAGCUCGUGUCGUGAGAUGUUCGGUUAAGUCCGGCAACGAGCGCAACCCACACUCUUAGUUGCCAGCAUUCAGUUGGGCACUCUAAGAGAACUGCCGGUGAUAAGCCGGAGGAAGGUGUGGAUGACGUCAAGUCCUCAUGGCCCUUACGGGUUGGGCUACACACGUGCUACAAUGGCAGUGACAAUGGGUUAAUCCCAAAAAGCUGUCUCAGUUCGGAUUGGGGUCUGCAACUCGACCCCAUGAAGUCGGAA